AUGGAGGUGUUAAGCAUGUUUUCUUUUAUUGCUCAAGCCACGAUACUUUUCCUUUUGUUUCUUAAACUCACAGCCUACGGCAACAAAAGCAAAUUACACAAGAAGCAGCUGCCUCCCGGGCCAUGGAGCCUUCCGUUCAUCGGCAGCCUCCACCACGUCUUGCGUGGCCUCCCACACCGCACAAUGAGGGAGUUGUCUCACCAUCAUGGACCCCUGAUGUUCCUCAGGCUUGGCGAGGUUCCAACCUUGGUCGUCUCCAGCGCCGAGGCGGCGGAGCUGGUGAUGAGGACCCACGACCUGUCGUUCGCCUCCCGACCGAGCAGCGUGACCAUCAACAUCGUCGGCUGCUGCGGGAAGGGGAUCGGCUUCGCCCCCUACGGCGACCGCUGGCGCCAGAUGAAGAAGAUUUGCAUCAUGGAGCUUCUCAACGCCAAGCAGGUGAAGCACGUGGAGUCCAUAAGGGCCGACGAGGUGGGCCGCCUCCUCCGCUCCAUUGCGGCGGCCUCUGGUUUCGUCAACCUCAGCAAGAAGGCGUCGGCGCUGGCGAACGACAUCGUCGCCAUGGCCAUGUUCGGUGGCAAGUGCGCGGGGGAGAAGUCCGAGUUCGUGCUCGCCUACGACCAAGUAAGUGAGCUGGUGGCCGGGUUCUUCCCGCUGGACUUCUUCCCGUCGUCGCGGAUCGUGCGGCGGCUGAGCACCGUCGAGCGCCGCCUCCGCGGGAGUUAUGGCUGCAUCCAGCGCAUCAUUGCGAGUAUCGUCGAGAGCCGCAAUGCGGAGAUCGCUGCCAACGGGGAUCAAGAGGAUUUCCUGGGCGUGCUGCUCAGGCUGCAGAAGCAGGAUUCACUUGCUUUCCCUCUGACACCUGAGACUAUUGGCGCCAUCAUGUUUGACAUAUUCGGAGGCGCUACUACAACCCUAGGAUCCACUGUAGAGUGGGCUAUGUCGGAGCUGUUGAAAAAACCCGAGACUAUGGCAAAGGCACAACUAGAGGUUCGAAGCGUUCUAGGUGCACUACGAGGUGUCAUCACUAAUACUGACCUUGGUGGACUCAACUACAUGCGAAUCAUUAUCAAGGAGGUUCUUAGGUUGCAUCCUCCCAACCCUAUGCUUGUCCCCCGUGAGUCAAGAGAGGACUGUGAAAUCAUGGGUUAUCACAUUCCCAAAGGCACAAAGAUACAUGUUAAUGCAUUUGCAAUUUCUCGGGAUCCAAGAUAUUGGUACAACCCAGAGGCAUUUAACCCAGAGAGGUUUGAGAAUAGCAAUGUUGAUUUUAAAGGAACAAAUUUUGAGUUCACCCCCUUCGGGGCAGGUCGUCGACAGUGUCCUGCGAUUCUGUUUGGCACGUCUGCCGUGGAGAUUGCAUUGGCGAAUCUUCUCUACCACUUUGAAUGGGUGCUUCCUGAUGGAGAGAAUUCGCAUUCGUUGGACAUGUCUGAGACUUUUGGGAUGGGAGUAAGGAAAAAGGUAGAGCUGCAUUUGAGAGCUACUCCGUAUGUACAAUCUGGUUAUGUAUAA
rnacentral:rRNA from 1 species